rnacentral:rRNA from 1 species
AUGAAUCUCAGCCUGCUAGCUUCGUGGGCUAAGAGAUAUUUCAACGAUGAUGGUAAAAUUUGGAAACAAAUCAUUGAUGCCAAAUAUAAAACUUGCAAACCUAACAUUUUUGCCUGCCCUGAUAUUGGAGCCUCCCCCCUUUGGAAAGGCAUACUUUGGGCUAUUAAAGCUGCAAAAAUUGGCUUUUCCUGGAAGGUGGGUAAUGGCAAGAGUGUUAGGUUUUGGGAAGACCGUUGGACUGGCAAUUCUAUACUUGCAACUAGUUUUUGGGAGUUGUAUAAUAUUGCCAAUACUACCAAUGUCUCCAUCAGUGAGGUGUGGGAUGGCGUGACCCUGAAAAUUAACUUUAGGAGAUGUUUUUCGCCGGACAUGCUUGCUGCUUGGAAUGAGCUUUUCAUUGUAGUCAAGGAUCUGAGCUUAAAUGAUUGUGAUGACACUAUUAUUUGGGAUCUGGAGCCUGGGAUAUACACUGUUAAAUCUUAUUAUAAUUUUGUGAAUUUUAGAGGAGUGACUCCAAAUAAUAUUAUGAUGAUCUGGAAAGCUAAUGUUCCUCAGAGAAUUCAGAUAUUUCUCUGGUUGCUUGUGAGAAACAAGCUACUCACCAGAGACAAUCUUCUGAAAAGACAGCAUGUAGCUGAUACUACCUGCCUGUUCUGUAAUGAAGCAGAAUCGGUUAAUCAUCUUCUUUUUUAUUGUGUGGUUGCGAGAGAACUCUGGAGAGAGAUUUUUAGCCCCAUAGGGAGCAACAUUGAGCUUAACUCGCAUGGGCUUCUGGAUUGGUGGGCUAGAAAUGACAACAAAACUGCAGAUAUUAUGCUUCAUGCAGCUGCAUUAUGGACUCUCUAG